UGAUCCCCAGUGGGGAGCUUGCAGGCGGCAGCCAAUCAAUGAUUCUCUCUCAUCAUGAAUGUUUCUAUCUCUCUCUCCCUCUUCCAUCUUCUCUGAAAUUAAUAAAAAAAUAUUUUAAAAAUUAAAUUUAAUUUAAAAUAAAAUUUAAAAAAAAGAGUAUUAAGUAAUGCCAACAUUUGCUCCUCAUCAAAAAGGGGUUUGUUUAGUCGGGAGGCUAGAGAGUUUAUAGGAUUUUUGAGCAGACACUGGAAUCAAAUUUAGGUUUGACUAUACUUAAUGCUUCACACUAAUUUGUGACUUUGGGUAAGUUACUUAAAAUCUGUACCUUAGAGUUCUCAAAAUGAAAUAGGGAUAUGAAUGAACAGUGCCUGGUACAUGGUAAAUGACCAAAACAGCAGUACUUUAGGACUAGUCUAGAGCUUAAGAAGGAGGCAGGGUUAACAUUUUAUAUCUUGUAACUAUCUAUACGUUCUUGCUAUUUAAUGGUGAUAGCAAAAUCAUAAUAUGUGAAAAGGGCAGCAACUUAGGCCAUUUGUUUAUUUAAAGUUUUUUUUUAAUUGAUUUUUAGAGGAAGUGGGAGUGGGGCGACAUCUGUCCACUGCCUCCUGCAUGCUGUCUACCAGGGGUUGAGCUGGCAACCUUUUGGUGCACCAGAUAAUACCCAGUCAACUGAACCAAACAGGCCAAGGGGCAACAUAGGCUAUUUAAAGCAGGGUGAUUUCCCCUUAGAAAUUAGAUAACCUUAUUUAUAAUUUUGGCAAAUUCUGCUUUUGGUUAAUGAAAAAAUUCCGGAAUUUGCUAAUUUGUCAGUCCUAGGAAAUGGAAUGUGUCCUUAGAAUUGAGGUACAAUCAUAUCUUAGAGCUUUACUUGGUGUGGGCAAGAAUUCAUUCUUACAGAUUAUUCUGAUUGUUUACUGUAAAGUUCCAUUCCAUUUGGAGGUCCUUUUGUAUAAUAUCUUCUAUAUAAGAACAACUUAAAAGACUGAAUACUUUUUUUUUUUUUGCUGUAAAUACCAAGUGAACUAUGUGUUUUUUUAUGUAAUCCUAAGAAAUUAUAAGGAAAAAAUUAAUUCCUAAAAUCUAGUGUGAAAUUACACUUUAAUUUACCGAGUACCUUUUAAAAACAUUGAGUUUCAGAUUUAUUUUUUUAUAUAUUCAGAAACUCUUGGGGAAUUAUUUGAAGUACAUAAAAAAAAUAAGUUGGCUGUUAGAGAAUUGCAUGUUAAUUCACUAUGGAUAUGAUUUCCCUUUUUUUUGACUCAUAAAAUGUCUCUUGAGUUUGUUGAGCCAAUACUAGAAAAAGAAAACUUUAUUUUUACCUCAGGACUUCCAAAUUAUGCACAAACUUAGAAACUCCUUUCAGGUUCUACACAUUUCUGAAUAGUCAGGACAGCAUAAACUAAAACUAAACAUAUAAAGACUACAUAUUUAGCAACUCAUCCUCUGGCCUGUGAGACCUUAAAAAAAUUUCUUUUGGGGUUUAUUUGUGUGCUCUUUUAAAAUUAAUUUAUUCAGUUAUCCAUAACCAUUUAACUCAUUCUUUUGACUAAAAUAUUCUGUCAAACUAUGUUGUAUUUUUCUGGAAGUUAGAAUUCUUGUUUACUGAUAACCUUUGGUCAUUGUUUUGAGACUUUAAAAAUGAAGGUAAUUAUCCAAUAGUAUACAAACUUAAAAGCAACUUCAGUAUCAAGAAAGUGUCUUUCAAAUUAAAAAAAAAAUUAAA